rnacentral:rRNA from 1 species
UACGUAGGGGGCGAGCGUUGUCCGGAUUUACUGGGCGUAAAGCGCGUGUAGGCGGCGGCUUAAGUCGGGUGUGAAAGCCCGGGGCUCAACCCCGGGAUGCCGCUCGAGACUGGGUCGCUUGAGGACGGAAGAGGGGCGUGGAAUUCCUGGUGUAGCGGUGAAAUGCGUAGAGAUCAGGAGGAACACCCGUGGCGAAGGCGGCGCCCUGGAACGGUACUGACGCUGAGACGCGAAAGCGUGGGGAGCGAACAGG